rnacentral:rRNA from 1 species
UACGUAGGGGGCGAGCGUUGUCCGGAUUUAUUGGGCGUAAAGAGCGUGUAGGCGGCCAGGUAGGUCUGCUGUGAAAACUCGAGGCUCAACCUCGAGACGUCGGCGGAAACCAUCUGGCUAGAGUCCGGAAGAGGAGAGUGGAAUUCCUGGUGUAGCGGUGAAAUACGCAGAUAUCAGGAAGAACACCCGUGGCGAAGGCGGCUCUCUGGGACGGUACUGACGCUGAGACGCGAAAGCGUGGGGAGCGAACAGG